UACAGAGGUGGCAAGCGUUGUUCGGAAUUACUGGGCGUAAAGGGCGCGUAGGCGGCCUCGUAAGUCCCGUGUGAAAGCCCCCGGCUCAACUGGGGAAUUGCACGGGAAACUGCGGGGCUUGAGUUCGGGAGAGGGAAGCGGAAUUCCGGGUGUAGCGGUGAAAUGCGUAGAUAUCAGGAGGAACACCAAUUGCGAAGGCAGCUCGCUGGGACGUUACUGACGCUGAGACGCGAAAGCGUGGGGAGCAAACAGG
rnacentral:rRNA from 1 species